UCGUUUUGUUGUUGCUGAUUUUGUUGUGUUGAUUUCCAAUUGACAAAGUUUGCUAAUUGGAACAACGCGUAUUUUAAAUUUGAAUUCAGCUUAAAAUUAACAAAGUCUAAAUUUAGUUGCAGUUCUCCGCCUAGAGAUGAUCUUUGGACUUUGUUACACAUCCAAUUUCAAGGCAGUCAAAAAGAAAAACAAAGCCAGCAGAUAUGUGAGAAUCAUAAGACCAGUUCGCAUAGAAACAUUCAGACGAACGGACGGACCUGGCUGAUCAAGAAUAUAUAUAAUGUUCCUAUAGAAAUAAGAACCUACUGUGGACUUUACAAAGAAAGGAAGAAAAUAGCCUUAAAGAAGGGCCUAUAAUUUGUUAUUAAAUAUUUACAGCUAUUACUUGACAAAUAAACUUUUGACUGGAUCAGCGU